GAGAAAAUAGGUCAGUAAAUGAAUAUAUGGCGAGCUUAUAUGGGUUUGCACAAUGCCCACAGUACAGAAGAAGGGUCAAACUACCACCAGGGUCAUAAAACUACUCUUGGAAAUGCCCACAACUCCUGCGAAACCCUUGUCAAAUAUGUGUUCUUAGCUUCAUGGUACAGAAGAAGGGUCAAACUACCACCAGGGUCAUAAAACUACUCUUGGAAAUCCACACAACUCCUACGGAAGCCUUGUCAAAUAUGUGUUCUUAUGUUCAUGGUACAGAAGAAGGGUCAAACUACCACCAGGGUCAUAAAACUACUCUUGGAAAUCCACACAACUCCUACGGAAGCCUUGUCAAAUAUGUGUUCUUAUGUUCAUGGUACAGAAGAAGGGUCAAACUACCACCAGGGUCAUAAAACUACUCUUGGAAAUCCACACAACUCCUACGGAAGCCUUGUCAAAUAUGUGUUCUUAGGUUCAUGGUACAGAAGAAGGGUCAAACUAACACCAGGGUCAUAAAACUACUCUUGGAAAUCCACACAACUCCUAUGAAAGCCUUGUCAAAUAUGCGUUUUUGGGUGACGAAAUAUCUUAUAAUACAACCCAAUUUUGUCUCAAGCUCCAAAAACUCGCGGUAAGAACUCAAAGGAGAGGAAAUUAGUUUGACAUAAGUGGAAUAAACUAUCCACAAGUGUCGUCCGCGGCCCUUGCGCCAACAACUUAAAAAUCAGAUUAGACAACUUAUGAGGAGUUAGCACCCUCCCUCUUGACUAUCACUAAGGUAAACAAUCUCUACAUAAUGGCUAAUAAGUACUCGCUCUACAAAUACAACCGAUACUUAUCAAUCGGCUAUAAUUCUGUUAACACUGGGAGAGCGAGAUUCUACCGGGGAGAGA